GUAAAUCUAGGGUUUUCUGCAUCACUUUAGACAAAUAAAGAAAAUUCAUCUUUCUCCUUUGUCGUUUCAAUAAACGCUUUCUCUGUUUGUAAUCUUCUUCUCCAAAGGAAGCUAUACAGUUUCACUUCUACGAAACCUUUUCGAUUUACCAAAUCAAUUACUCCCCUUCAGCCUCUACAGAUACCCAUAUUUACUCAAACCAUCAUAAUGAUUCCCAUUCAUAACACCACCCAAUAAUCUCAUCAUAUAGGAGAAAUUAUUACAAAUAAAAAACUUAUCGAUUUCUCUCAAAAGCGUAACUUAUACAAUCUCAUUGAUUAUGUCUCUCUUUGCUUCUCUGUUAGAUCAAAACAACGACCGCCAGUCAACAUUCGACUCUUUCUUACUCGGUUGAUAUCCUCAGUUUAUUGUUGGUUGCCUUCUCCACCUCUGGGAUUCCACAACAUCAACCAAAAGGAUGAUUUCAUGGUUAUCACACUCUUCUUACUCGGUGAAAAGAAUGCACUCAUCCAUGGCUUCGUCCCAGCUUCUCGUGCCAAUCACUUCCGUGCAUUUUUAAGAACAGGUGCCAUAGUAAGAUUGGGUCGUUUUCAGGUCGCAAGGUGCACUAACAUGUACAAGAUUACGAACCAUCCAUUCGUCAUACGUAUUAUCCCAGGUACAACUAUUGAUGAAUUACAGAAGGCUCCUUCUGUAAUCAACCUCCACAAGUUCAAGGUCCGGAAGUUGGACCACCUACUUGCACUUGCUAACACAGAUUUAGAAUAUACACCUCUGCAGUUCAUUUACAUCAUAUUUAAGUUCAGGGUUUAUUUUUAAAUAUCCUGAUGCUGUUGGACAAAUAUGAUAUUUGCAUGGGUUAGAUAACUCACCAACCCUGCAGUCAGGUCCCUUAUUCUGAUCCGUCUCCUAAUUGAUCGUGGUGUGGCGGCCUUCUUGAAUUUGACGGGAACGCUGCAUCUAUGUUUAGGUCUAUCUUGAACUCCCAGGUAACAGACACUCUGUAAUGCUGGUCACCACAACCAAACCACAGCUGCUUGGAGGCUACGUUCGUCGAGGCUCGACGGCAGCCACCAACUAUUACUUCGAUGCAAACAUUACCCCAUUGAAGAAUUCAUAAAAAGUUUGGGAGUUGCAAAAGAUUAACAUUUUACAUGUAUUCAGACAAGCGAGCCCAUUCAAAACACAAAUCUAGGAGAUGACAUUGAAGCUGGACGCCUCCCACCUCAUUCUAAUGAUUAAACUAAUGAGGAGUAUGCAAAAAUAAAGACAACAUUUCCAUUAGUUGUUUCAUAACAAAGCUUUAUUAUUGAUAUGCUAUAUUUAGUUAAUGGGUUUUGUUUUAAAGUUUUAAAAAAUCUUUCUACGAGAACAGGAAAAUA